ACCCAGACUCCUACGGGAGGCAGCAGUGGGGAAUAUUGGGCAAUGGGGGGAACCCUGAUGCAGCGACGCCGCGUGAGUGAAGAAGUAUUUCGGUAUGUAAAGCUCUCUCAGCAGGGAAGAAGAUGACGGUACCUGACUAAGAAGCCCCGGCUAACUCCGUGCCAGCAGCCGCGGUAAUACGGAGGAUGCGAGCGUUAUCCGGAUUUAUUGGGUUUAAAGGGUGCGUAGGCGGACUGUUAAGUCAGCGGUAAAAGCCGGGGGCUCAACCCCGGCGAGCCGUUGAAACUGGCUGUCUUGAGAUGUCGAGAGGUAUGCGGAAUGCGCAGUGUAGCGGUGAAAUGCUUAGAUAUUGCGCAGAACUCCGAUUGCGAAGGCAGCAUACCGGCGGCGAUCUGACGCUCAUGCACGAAAGUGUGGGUAUCGAACAGGAUUAGAUACCCGCGUAAC
rnacentral:rRNA from 1 species